UAUGUCCAUAUCACAUUGAAACACAGGUUCUCAUAUGAUCACUGAAGUUAAGCAAUGUCGAGCCUGGUCAGUACCUAGAUGGUUGACCACUUGGCAAUGCUUGGUGCUGUAA